rnacentral:rRNA from 1 species
GACGAACGCUGGCGGCGUGCUUAACACAUGCAAGUCGAACGGAAAGGCCCUGCUUUUGUGGGGUGCUCGAGUGGCGAACGGGUGAGUAACACGUGAGUAACCUGCCCUUGACUUUGGGAUAACUUCAGGAAACUGGGGCUAAUACCGGAUAGGAGCUCCUGCUGCAUGGUGGGGGUUGGAAAGUUUCGGCGGUUGGGGAUGGACUCGCGGCUUAUCAGCUUGUUGGUGGGGUAGUGGCUUACCAAGGCUGUGACGGGUAGCCGGCCUGAGAGGGUGACCGGCCACACUGGGACUGAGACACGGCCCAGACUCCUACGGGAGGCAGCAGUGGGGAAUAUUGCACAAUGGGCGGAAGCCUGAUGCAGCAACGCCGCGUGCGGGAUGACGGCCUUCGGGUUGUAAACCGCUUUCGCCUGUGACGAAGCGUGAGUGACGGUAAUGGGUAAAGAAGCACCGGCUAACUACGUG